UGGCCUAAUGGAUAAAGCGUCUGACUUCUAAUCAGAAGAUUGCAGGUUCAAGCCUUGC
rnacentral:tRNA from 1 species